rnacentral:rRNA from 1 species
UACGUAGGGGGCAAGCGUUGUCCGGAUUUAUUGGGCGUAAAGAGCGUGUAGGCGGCCCGGUAAGUCCGCUGUGAAAGUCGGGGGCUCAACCCUCGAAUGCCGGUGGAUACUGUCGGGCUAGAGUGCGGAAGAGGCGAGUGGAAUUCCUGGUGUAGCGGUGAAAUGCGUAGAGAUCAGCAGGAAUACCCGUGGCGAAGGCGGCCCCCUGGGCCGACCCUGACGCUGAGGCGCGAAGGCUAGGGGAGCGAACGGG